UAUCACAGAAGAAAGACACCCAUAAAAGUAAAAACACAGCAAAAAUAUAAUUCAAUAUAAGUCAAAACAUUUGCAACAAAUGCCUAAUUUUCGAACUGAUGAAAAAUGGCCUGAUGUGGCAGGACUUAAAAUGUUUCUUCUCAUUGUGAAACACAUUUUUUACAUAUUCCAACAAACAUGACAAAAAGACAAGGAAGUAACAGCCAGCAGAGUUCAGUGGCGCCGUUAUAAAGGGAAACGCCCCGUUCUGAUGUCACGUCCUCCUUGUUGUUGGCUGUGCAUGGCUGGAAUAAACAAAUGACUGAUUCAACACGAAAUCUGAUUAACACCUUAUGUAAAUCUUCCCAUACUCAUUGGUCAGGUUUUUUUUGGACUCCCUGAACCUCUUCUAGAGUGGCGAGCUGGUGGGAUUAUUUAUUUUUCCCUUUUGAUUCGGGACCUUGGACACUGUGAGAGUCCUGUUUUUUUUCCCCCAAAAGGAACUUAACUAAAAGAACAUGGACAAUAACUGAACUUUCAUAUUUAGUUUGGAUAACCACAAACUGGACCAUUUUGAACUGAAAAGGAUGCGAAAGUAAAAAAAAUAAUAGUUUUGCAUUUGAAUGACUGGAUACUUGUCUAAUGUAAUCUUGUCUUGACACAGAUAUCUGGUGUCUGUCUAAUUAUUUGUUUGUUGUAAUUUAAGUUAAAUAUAUAUUUCUGAAUCAGAUGAGCAUUUUCUUUUUCCCUUCCUCUGGUUGUCUUGGUCCAUCCCAGGCUCCUAUGACGAACUUCAUUUUCUGUUGUCAGUUUUGUUAAUAUCUUUGCGAUAACUGGUCCAUACCAAAAAAACAUAACCCAUACAAGCAUAUUGUGUCAGUGUUACAUCAACAUCUCCCAUCAAACAAAAAACAAACAAAAAAAACAAGUAUUUGAUCUGCUUAUCCUUGUGUUUAUGGGCUCUCUGUGAUUGUCUGCCAUUUCCCAUCUUUACCUUGACCUUACACAUAUCAUGUCUAAGUCAGGUUCUUCAAUUGAAACUUGGUGGUUUCUACGACAUUCAUGAAACAGUUUGCCAUGUUCUUUUACACAAUCAGAGGUGGGUACUAUUUAGUUACAUUUAUUAAGUUACAUUUACUUCAGUAACAUUCUGAAGAAACGCUACUCUUACUUUAGUAAAUUUUCGUGCUAUUCUAUUAAAAAUUUCAUUAUCUGUAAGCCAUAAACAUCAAAAUUAGAAGAAAUAAAGGCUUGAAAUGUUUCAA